rnacentral:rRNA from 1 species
GAUUAAGUUAUUAAGGGCGCACGGUGGAUGCCUUGGCACUAGAAGCCGACGAAGGACGUUACUAACGACGAUAUGCUUUGGGUAGCUGUAAGUAAGCGUUGAUCCAGAGAUUUCCGAAUGGGGGAACCCAGCACGAGUUAUGUCGUGUUAUCGACAAGUGAAUUCAUAGCUUGUCAGAAGGCAGACCCGGAGAACUGAAACAUCUUAGUACCCGGAGGAAGAGAAAGAAAAAUCGAUUCCCUGAGUAGCGGCGAGCGAAACGGGAAGAGCCCAAACCAAUAAGCUUGCUUAUUGGGGUUGUAGGACACUCUAUACGGAGUUACAAAGGAAUAUAUUAGACGAAUCAUCUGGAAAGUUGAAUCAAAGAAGGUAAUAAUCCUGUAGUUGAAAAUAUAUUCUCUCUUGAGUGGAUCCUGAGUACGACGGAGCACGUGAAAUUCCGUCGGAAUCUGGGAGGACCAUCUCCUAAGGCUAAAUACUCUCUAGUGACCGAUAGUGAACCAGUACCGUGAGGGAAAGGUGAAAAGUACCCCGGAAGGGGAGUGAAAGAGAACUUGAAACCGUGUGCUUACAAGUAGUCAGAGCCCGUUAAUGGGUGAUGGCGUGCCUUUUGUAGAAUGAACCGGCGAGUUACGAUCUGAUGCAAGGUUAAGCAGGAGAUGUGGAGCCGUAGCGAAAGCGAGUCUGAAUAGGGCGUUGAGUAUUUGGUCGUAGACCCGAAACCAGGUGAUCUACCCAUGGUCAGGUUGAAGUUCAGGUAACACUGAAUGGAGGACCGAACCGACUUACGUUGAAAAGUGAGCGGAUGAACUGUGGGUAGCGGAGAAAUUCCAAUCGAACUUGGAGAUAGCUGGUUCUCUCCGAAAUAGCUUUAGGGCUAGCCUCAAGUGAUGAUUAUUGGAGGUAGAGCACUGUUUGGACGAGGGGCCCCUCUCGGGUUACCGAAUUCAGACAAACUCCGAAUGCCAAUUAAUUUAACUUGGGAGUCAGAACAUGGGUGAUAAGGUCCGUGUUCGAAAGGGAAACAGCCCAGACCACCAGCUAAGGUCCCAAAAUAUAUGUUAAGUGGAAAAGGAUGUGGCGUUGCCCAGACAACUAGGAUGUUGGCUUAGAAGCAGCCAUCAUUUAAAGAGUGCGUAAUAGCUCACUAGUCGAGUGACACUGCGCCGAAAAUGUACCGGGGCUAAACAUAUUACCGAAGCUGUGGAUUGUCCGUAGGACAAUGGUAGGAGAGCGUUCUAAGGGCGUUGAAGCAUGAUCGCAAGGACAUGUGGAGCGCUUAGAAGUGAGAAUGCCGGUGUGAGUAGCGAAAGACGGGUGAGAAUCCCGUCCACCGAUUGACUAAGGUUUCCAGAGGAAGGCUCGUCCGCUCUGGGUUAGUCGGGUCCUAAGCUGAGGCCGACAGGCGUAGGCGAUGGAUAACAGGUUGAUAUUCCUGUACCACCUAGCAUCGUUUUAAUCGAUGGGGGGACGCAGUAGGAUAGGCGAAGCGUACGAUUGGAUUGUACGUCGNNNNNNNNNNNNNNNNNNNNNNNNNNNNNNNNNNNNNNNNNNNNNNNNNNNNNNNNNNNNNNNNNNNNNNNNNNNNNNNNNNNNNNNNNNNNNNNNNUGGUUAGCUUCUGCGAAGCUACGAAUCGAAGCCCCAGUAAACGGCGGCCGUAACUAUAACGGUCCUAAGGUAGCGAAAUUCCUUGUCGGGUAAGUUCCGACCCGCACGAAAGGCGUAACGAUUUGGGCACUGUCUCAACGAGAGACUCGGUGAAAUCAUAGUACCUGUGAAGAUGCAGGUUACCCGCGACAGGACGGAAAGACCCCGUGGAGCUUUACUGUAGCCUGAUAUUGAAAUUCGGCACAGCUUGUACAGGAUAGGUAGGAGCCUUUGAAACGUGAGCGCUAGCUUACGUGGAGGCGCUGGUGGGAUACUACCCUAGCUGUGUUGGCUUUCUAACCCGCACCACUUAUCGUGGUGGGAGACAGUGUCAGGCGGGCAGUUUGACUGGGGCGGUCGCCUCCUAAAAGGUAACGGAGGCGCUCAAAGGUUCCCUCAGAAUGGUUGGAAAUCAUUCAUAGAGUGUAAAGGCAUAAGGGAGCUUGACUGCGAGACCUACAAGUCGAGCAGGGUCGAAAGACGGACUUAGUGAUCCGGUGGUUCCGCAUGGAAGGGCCAUCGCUCAACGGAUAAAAGCUACCCCGGGGAUAACAGGCUUAUCUCCCCCAAGAGUUCACAUCGACGGGGAGGUUUGGCACCUCGAUGUCGGCUCAUCGCAUCCUGGGGCUGUAGUCGGUCCCAAGGGUUGGGCUGUUCGCCCAUUAAAGCGGUACGCGAGCUGGGUUCAGAACGUCGUGAGACAGUUCGGUCCCUAUCCGUCGUGGGCGUAGGAAAUUUGAGAGGAGCUGUCCUUAGUACGAGAGGACCGGGAUGGACAUACCUCUGGUGUACCAGUUGUCGUGCCAACGGCAUAGCUGGGUAGCUAUGUAUGGACGGGAUAAGUGCUGAAAGCAUCUAAGCAUGAAGCCCCCCUCAAGAUGAGAUUUCCCAACUUCGGUUAUAAGAUCCCUCAAAGAUGAUGAGGUUAAUAGGUUCGAGGUGGAAGCGUGGUGACACGUGGAGCUGACGAAUACUAAUCGAUCGAAGACUUAAUCAA